rnacentral:rRNA from 1 species
GUCUGGUGAUGAUGGCGAAGAGGUCACACCCGUUCCCAUGCCGAACACGGAAGUUAAGCUCUUCAGCGCCGAUGGUAGUCGGGGGUUUCCCCCUGUGAGAGUAGGACAUCGCCAG